rnacentral:rRNA from 1 species
AGUCGAACGAUGAACCACUUCGGUGUGGAUUAGUGGCGAACGGGUGAGUAACACGUGGGCAAUCUGCCCUGCACUCUGGGACAAGCCCUGGAAACGGGGUCUAAUACCGGAUAACACUCCUGCAGGCAUCUGUGGGUGUUAAAAGCUCCGGCGGUGAAGGAUGAGCCCGCGGCCUAUCAGCUUGUUGGUGAGGUAGUGGCUCACCAAGGCGACGACGGGUAGCCGGCCUGAGAGGGCGACCGGCCACACUGGGACUGAGACACGGCCCAGACUCCUACGGGAGGCAGCAGUGGGGAAUAUUGCACAAUGGGCGAAAGCCUGAUGCAGCGACGCCCGUGAGGGAUGACGGCCUUCGGGUUGUAAACCUCUUUCAGCAGGGAAGAAGCGAAAGUGACGGUACCUGCAGAAGAAGCGCCGGCUAACUACGUGCCAGCAGCCGCGGUAAUACGUAGGGCGCAAGCGUUGUCCGGAAUUAUUGGGCGUAAAGAGCUCGUAGGCGGCUUGUCGCGUCGGUUGUGAAAGCCCGGGGCUUAACCCCGGGUCUGCAGUCGAUACGGGCAGGCUAGAGUUCGGUAGGGGAGAUCGGAAUUCCUGGUGUAGCGGUGAAAUGCGCAGAUAUCAGGAGGAACACCGGUGGCGAAGGCGGAUCUCUGGGCCGAUACUGACGCUGAGGAGCGAAAGCGUGGGGGAGCGAACAGGAUUAGAUACCCUGGUAGUCCACGCCGUAAACGGUGGGCACUAGGUGUGGGCAACAUUCCACGUUGUCCGUGCCGCAGCUAACGCAUUAAGUGCCCCGCCUGGGGAGUACGGCCGCAAGGCUAAAACUCAAAGGAAUUGACGGGGGCCCGCACAAGCAGCGGAGCAUGUGGCUUAAUUCGACGCAACGCGAAGAACCUUACCAAGGCUUGACAUACACCGGAAAGCAUUAGAGAUAGUGCCCCCCUUGUGGUCGGUGUACAGGUGGUGCAUGGCGUCGUCAGCUCGUGUCGUGAGAUGUUGGGUUAAGUCCCGCAACGAGCGCAACCCUUGUUCUGUGUUGCCAGCAUGCCCUUCGGGGUGAUGGGGACUCACAGGAGACCGCCGGGGUCAACUCGGAGGAAGGUGGGGACGACGUCAAGUCAUCAUGCCCCUUAUGUCUUGGGCUGCACACGUGCUACAAUGGCAGGUAC